GAGUUUGAUCCUGGCUCAGGACGAACGCUGGCGGCGUGCCUAACACAUGCAAGUCGAGCGAAUGAAGUUCCUUCGGGAAUGGAUUUAGCGGCGGACGGGUGAGUAACACGUGGGCAACCUGCCUCAUAGAGGGGAAUAGCCUUCCGAAAGGGAGAUUAAUACCGCAUAAGAUUGUAGUAUCGCAUGAUACAGCAAUUAAAGGAGCAAUCCGCUAUGAGAUGGGCCCGCGGCGCAUUAGCUAGUUGGUGAGGUAACGGCUCACCAAGGCGACGAUGCGUAGCCGACCUGAGAGGGUGAUCGGCCACAUUGGGACUGAGACACGGCCCAGACUCCUACGGGAGGCAGCAGUGGGGAAUAUUGCACAAUGGGGGAAACCCUGAUGCAGCAACGCCGCGUGAGUGAUGACGGCCUUCGGGUUGUAAAGCUCUGUCUUCAGGGACGAUAAUGACGGUACCUGAGGAGGAAGCCACGGCUAACUACGUGCCAGCCGCCGCGGUAAUUC
rnacentral:rRNA from 1 species